rnacentral:tRNA from 1 species
UGUUCUGUGGGUUUGUUGGUUAAAACGUCGGUGUAGCGAAUACGGAGUCGUGGGUUCAAUCCCCACCAGAUCGA